CGCUAUCACUCCUACGGGGAGGCAGCAGUAGGGAAUCUUCCACAAUGGGCGCAAGCCUGAUGGAGCAACACCGCGUGAGUGAAGAAGGGUUUCGGCUCGUAAAGCUCUGUUGUUAAAGAAGAACACGUAUGAGAGUAACUGUUCAUACGUUGACGGUAUUUAACCAGAAAGUCACGGCUAACUACGUGCCAGCAGCCGCGGUAAUACGUAGGUGGCAAGCGUUAUCCGGAUUUAUUGGGCGUAAAGAGAGUGCAGGCGGUUUUCUAAGUCUGAUGUGAAAGCCUUCGGCUUAACCGGAGAAGUGCAUCGGAAACUGGAUAACUUGAGUGCAGAAGAGGGUAGUGGAACUCCAUGUGUAGCGGUGGAAUGCGUAGAUAUAUGGAAGAACACCAGUGGCGAAGGCGGCUACCUGGUCUGCAACUGACGCUGAGACUCGAAAGCAUGGGUAGCGAACAGGAUUAGAUACCCUGGUAG
rnacentral:rRNA from 1 species